rnacentral:lncRNA from 1 species
AGCAAAUAUUAGAUUAUUAAAUUUCAUCAAAUUCAUCCUAGGUCUCUUUUUAGCUUGAGUAGUGUCUCCCAAGGCCUAUCAAUUGAUAAUUUCUUGUCUUUAAGCAAUAAGAAUGAGUAAUCGUGCACCAUUUAUUAUUCAUCGAAUUUUUCUAGGAAUUUUAUAGAUUGAUAAAAUUAAGCAAGCCAAUGAAUGGAUCGGAUAUCGGUCCGAACUCAAGCCCAUUGAAAACUUUGGGUUCAGAUCUAGGUUUAUGAUUUUUAGGCCCAACCUGAUCCAGUCCCAACUGAUUAAUUUCUUGUAUACAUAGUAUUAAUUUCAUUAAUAUACUUUUCAAUCUUUAAGCUCUUGGCAUGUGAGAUUAUGUUCUAUAAAUUAAUGAGGUAGAAAGAAUAAAGAAAAUCAUAUGUUGGAUCACGUUUGAUUGUUUGUAUUUGAUUUAAAUUAAAUGUAUACUUUCAAUUUUUUUUAUCAAUCAUUGUUAUAUAAUUAACUAUCAAUCAUUGAAAGCUAGACUUGAUCUGAGCCAAUACAACUAUUAAUAAUCUAUCCAAACUAGGGGUGUGUACAAGUCAGAUCUAGUAGAUUUGGAUAUAUACCCAAGAUUAAAUUGAUUUAAAUUACUUUGCCAAAAUCAAAAACUAAAUCAAACAAAUCAUCUACAAAAAUUGUCUGAAAUAAAUUCUAAAAAUUUGGUUCAGUUCAUUCGGUUUAUCAGAUUAAUGUUUAACAGGUUGGGCUAAAUGAAUUAGACUAAGUCUAA